rnacentral:rRNA from 1 species
AUUGAACGCUGGCGGCAGGCCUAACACAUGCAAGUCGAACGGUAACAGGAAGAAGCUUGCUUCUUUGCUGACGAGUGGCGGACGGGUGAGUAAUGUCUGGGAAACUGCCUGAUGGAGGGGGAUAACUACUGGAAACGGUAGCUAAUACCGCAUAACGUCGCAAGACCAAAGAGGGGGACCUUCGGGCCUCUUGCCAUCGGCUGUGCCCAGAUGGGAUUAGCUAGUAGGUGGGGUAACGGCUCACCUAGGCGACGAUCCCUAGCUGGUCUGAGAGGAUGACCAGCCACACUGGAACUGAGACACGGUCCAGACUCCUACGGGAGGCAGCAGUGGGGAAUAUUGCACAAUGGGCGCAAGCCUGAUGCAGCCAUGCCGCGUGUAUGAAGAAGGCCUUCGGGUUGUAAAGUACUUUAAGCGGGGAGGAAGGGAGUAAAGUUAAUACCUUGACUCAUUGACGUUACCCGCAGAAGAAGCACCGGCUAACUCCGUG